AAGUCGUAACAAGGUUUCCGUAGGUGAACCUGCGGAAGGAUCAUUAUAGAAUUGUUCGAAUCCAUACGGGCAUUUUCUAAAAAUCCGUAUCCACACCGGUAGGGUCCAAACAAAAUCUUUUUUUUGUUAGGGCCCUUACCGUAGGGUUCCCAUAUUCGCACUCAUUUUUUGGGUGCGGGUGUGGUUCCUGUCUGACCCAUGCCUAUAAUUUUAUAUUGUCUGAACUUGUUUAUAACAAAAUCAUAAACAAAAACAACUUUCAACAACGGAUCUCUUGGCUCUC
rnacentral:misc_RNA from 1 species